rnacentral:piRNA from 1 species
UACCCUCUAUCCCACCACUGGAGCUGUGGUC